rnacentral:rRNA from 1 species
UACGUAGGGGGCUAGCGUUGUCCGGAAUCAUUGGGCGUAAAGCGCGCGUAGGCGCCUGGCAAGUGGAAGGUGAAAUCCCUCGGCUUAACCGAGGAACUGCCCUCCAAACUGCUUGGCUUGAGUCCGGGAGAGGUGAGUGGAAUUCCCAGUGUAGCGGUGAAAUGCGUAGAUAUUGGGAGGAACACCAGUGGCGAAGGCGGCUCACUGGACCGGAACUGACGCUGGGGCGCGAAAGCGUGGGGAGCAAACAGG